rnacentral:rRNA from 1 species
UGGGGAAUUUUGGACAAUGGGCGAAAGCCUGAUCCAGCAAUGCCGCGUGUGUGAAGAAGGCCUUCGGGUUGUAAAGCACUUUUGUCCGGAAAGAAAUCCUUGGCUCUAAUACAGUCGGGGGAUGACGGUACCGGAAGAAUAAGCACCGGCUAACUACGCGCCAGCAGCCGCGGUAAUACGUAGGGUGCAAGCGUUAAUCGGAAUUACUGGGCGUAAAGCGUGCGCAGGCGGUUUGCUAAGACCGAUGUGAAAUCCCCGGGCUCAACCUGGGAACUGCAUUGGUGACUGGCAGGCUAGAGUAUGGCAGAGGGGGGUAGAAUUCCACGUGUAGCAGUGAAAUGCGUAGAGAUGUGGAGGAAUACCGAUGGCGAAGGCAGCCCCCUGGGCCAAAUACUGACGCUCAUGCACGAAAGCGUGGGGAGCAAACAGGAUUAGAUACCCUGGUAGUCCACGCCCUAAACGAUGUCAACUAGUUGUUGGGGAUUCAUUUCCUUAGUAACGUAGCUAACGCGUGAAGUUGACCGCCUGGGGAGUACGGUCGCAAGAUUAAAACUCAAAUGAAUUGACGGGGUCAUA